GAUGAACGCUAGCGGCAGGCUUAAUACAUGCAAGACGAACGGUAAGAUUUGUAGCAAUACGAAUCCUAGAGUGUCGUAAGGGUGCGUAACACGUAUGCAAUCUGCCCUGUACAGGAGUAUAGCUCGGGGAAACUCGAAUUAACCCUCCAUAAGAUCUUAGGGUGGCAUCACCCAGAGAUUAAAACUACGGCGGUACAGGAUGAGCAUGCGACUGAUAGCUAGUUGGCGGGGUAACGGCCCACCAAGGCAAUGAUCAGUA
rnacentral:rRNA from 1 species